AGUGAACGCUGGCGGCAGGCCUAACACAUGCAAGUCGAGCGGCAGCGCGUCCGACCACCCUCGGGUGGUCGGAUGGCGGCGAGCGGCGGACGGGUGAGGAAUGCAUCGGAAUCUGCCUCGUUGUGGGGGGAUAACGUAGGGAAACUUACGCUAAUACCGCAUACGACCUACGGGUGAAAGUGGGGGACCUUCGGGCCUCACGCGAUGAGAUGAGCCGAUGCCGGAUUAGCUAGUUGGCGGGGUAAAGGCCCACCAAGGCGACGAUCCGUAGCUGGUCUGAGAGGAUGAUCAGCCACACUGGAACUGAGACACGGUCCAGACUCCUACGGGAGGCAGCAGUGGGGAAUAUUGGACAAUGGGGGCAACCCUGAUCCAGCCAUGCCGCGUGUGUGAAGAAGGCCUU
rnacentral:rRNA from 1 species